rnacentral:rRNA from 1 species
GGAGUUAGCCGGUGCUUCUUCUGUGAGUGAUGUCCUUCCUGCCGGCUAUUAACCCGCAGGCCUUCUUCCUCACUGAAAGUGCUUUACAACCCGAAGGCCUUCUUCACACACGCGGCAUGGCUGGAUCAGGGUUGCCCCCAUUGUCCAAUAUUCCCCACUGCUGCCUCCCGUAGGAGUCUGGGCCGUGUCUCAGUCCCAGUGUGGCUGAUCAUCCUCUCAGACCAGCUACGGAUCGUCGCCUUGGUGAGCCGUUACCUCACCAACCAGCUAAUCCGACAUAGGCUCAUCCGAUAGCGCGAGGCCCGAAGGUCCCCCGCUUUCCCCCGUAGGGCGUAUGCGGUAUUAGCCUGGGUUUCCCCAGGUUAUCCCCCACUACCGGGCAGAUUCCUAUGCAUUACCUCCACCCGUCCGCCGCUCCGCCACCGAGGGACGACAACGCCUCCCGUGCUCGCCGCUCGACUUGCAUGUGUACGUCGUCGCCGCCGACGCGUACUACUCUGACGACACUAACUAACUAACUACUACGUACGUAGACGGCGGGCGUCGGACGACGGCG